GCCGGCCGGGCCGCGGAAGGGGCGGGGCGCGCGGGCGGGGUCCCUAACGCCUGGCGAGGGGGGUCUCUAACCCAGGACCCCAAGCUGGCCGCAAGCAAGCCCAGGGCCCAGAACUGAGCCAAGCGUUCUUUCCAGCUGCGACGGUUGACGACCGGAAAACCGAUGACAACCCGUGGCCACCGAAGGUGGCGGUGGCGAUCGUCGCACGUCGUCGUGGUGUGCCUGGCGGUGAAGACAGCGGGAUUCGGAGUCCAAGGAUCUGCGCGGCUGGGUCUACCUCACGGAUUUCUCCUUGAGCGGAGUGGGGCGAAUGAGAAAAGCCCCCUUCGGCCGCCUGCAGGCCCAACGGGAGGUGGAAGACUGGCCAGGAGCGCAAUCAGCAUUUAUUGGCCACCAUGAACAACCCAUCCACUGGCCUGACUGGAAGCAGUGACACAGACCCACAAGAGCACAGGUGGAUUUCCUUGUGCAACAAAGUCGCUGGACACAAGAUUUGCACUUCGCAUAGUACUGAAAGGUUCUUAGUUAUUCUAAGUGAAAAUCAGAGCUCUGUUCAACUGAUUCUAAAAAUGAAAUCUAUGGAAAAAUAUCUUGUCUUUAAAAAUCUCCCAAAUAUGUAUACAUUGUAUACAUCUAUAGCUUAGACUUGCAUUACCUUUGGGUCUAAGGCUGGAUCACCUUCCGUAGAGAAACCUCUACAGAGUAAAAUCUCUUCCUCC